rnacentral:rRNA from 1 species
UACGUAGGGGGCUAGCGUUGUCCGGAAUCAUUGGGCGUAAAGCGCGCGUAGGCGGCCCGGUAAGUCCGCUGUAAAAGUCCAGGGCUCAACCCUGGAACGCCGGUGGAUACUGUCGGGCUAGAGUCCGGAAGAGGCGAGUGGAAUUCCUGGUGUAGCGGUGGAAUGCGCAGAUAUCAGGAAGAACACCCGUGGCGAAGGCGGCUCUCUGGGACGGUACUGACGCUGAGACGCGAAAGCGUGGGGAGCGAACAGG